AGGGUAGCUCAGGCGGUUAGAGCGUCGGACUCAUAACCCGAAGGUCGGCGGUUCAAGUCCGCCCC
rnacentral:tRNA from 1 species